rnacentral:rRNA from 1 species
GACGAACGCUGGCGGCGUGCUUAACACAUGCAAGUCGAACGGAAAGGCCCUGCUUUUGUGGGGUGCUCGAGUGGCGAACGGGUGAGUAACACGUGAGUAACCUGCCCUUGACUUUGGGAUAACUUCAGGAAACUGGGGCUAAUACCGGAUAGGAGCUCCUGCUGCAUGGUGGGGGUUGGAAAGUUUCGGCGGUUGGGGAUGGACUCGCGGCUUAUCAGCUUGUUGGUGGGGUAGUGGCUUACCAAGGCUUUGACGGGUAGCCGGCCUGAGAGGGUGACCGGCCACAUUGGGACUGAGAUACGGCACAGACUCCUACGGUAGGCAGCAGUGGGGAAUAUUGCACAAUGGGCGGAAGCCUGAUGCAGCAACGCCGCGUGCGGGAUGACGGCCUUCGGGUUGUAAACCGCUUUCGCCUGUGACGAAGCGUGAGUGACGGUAAUGGGUAAAGAAGCACCGGCUAACUACGUG